UUGCUGUUAUUUUACGUCAAAAUUUCAACAGUAUAAUCCUGUUAUGUCUAAAAACAGGGCAUUAAUGUUUUUUCAUGGAGGUUAGAAUGACGUAAACAAACUUUAACAUUAUUUCGCCGUAUUUAUUUCACAAAGGAUAAAAAACAGGUAUGUACAGUAUUUUUAGAAAUCGAGAACUGCAGCGAGCACAUGUGGAUGGUUAUCGUCUUCAUUCUCCGAGUUAAUAGGUGAGUGCCAGUUUGCUUUGCUCAUUAUAGACUAAAUAUAAGUUUGCAAUUGCAAAUAGUUUGUAAAACUAAAUAAUUUGUAAAAACAUACUAAUUGUGGAUGCUGUGAAUUGUAACUCUUUUAUACGCUUGUUUCAGGGAUUAACGUGCGCCGACGUCAUUGUGAAGCGGAGUUGAAUUUCUGAUUAAGAUAUUUUCCGAUUACAGGAGCAAUGAACACUGUGCUUGAAGACCUGAGGGGCAUCAUCCUCAGAACUUUGCCAACAAUAUCCAAAGACACUCAACAGGCAUUGAUGGAUAAACUGCUAAACUCUGGACUGGAAUCUACACAAGACCUUAAAUAUGUGACUCAAGAAGAUAUUACUGACCUACUGCCAGCCAUUCAACUACGGAAGCUUCUGGAAGCAUUUAAAAAAGAGACAGAGGUGGUCACUUUGGACCUAGAAAUACUUCCUUCCCC